ensembl:lncRNA
CUCUGAAGGGUUAAUUAAGGUUUUAAUUUACUUUUAUGUGAGUGUGUAUAUAUUAUCCAGUUUUAUCAGUUGAAUGAAAAAAAAAAUUAAUUCUGGCAACAAUAUCAAAUAUUUUUCACUGACACAAUGAACUGACUUUGGUGGGAAGUUACAAAUGUCUUCAAUAUUAUCUUAUAAUUUCUGCUAUGUUCACAGGUGCAGCUCCAAAGCCAUUUAUCAAACUAGUUAAAACAGAUGAUGGGGUGCAGCUGCAGUGUGAGGUUGAAGGUGCUUCUCCACAACCUGAAGUAGAGUGGAAGGACAGUGCUGGAAACAUCCUUCCUGCUAAAGAACCACAGGUCACAGAAAGAGGAGGAAGCUGCGACGUCAUCCUGCAAGCUACUGUAACCAAGGCCGACACCUUCACCUGUGUAGUUACACAGGAGGAAAUCAACCAUCAGAUUUCUGCUGACACAUAUGCUCUUAAUGGUGCAGCUCCAGAGCCAUUUAUCAAAUUAGUUAAAACAGAUGAUGGGGUGGUCCUGCAGUGUGCUGUUCGAGGUGUUUCUCCACAACCUAAAGUAGAGUGGAAGGACAGUGCUGGAAACAUCCUUCCUGCUAAAGAACCACAGGUCACAGAAAGAGGAGGAAGCUACAACGUCAUCCUACAAGCUACUGUAACCAAGGCCGACACCUUCACCUGUGUAGUUACACAGAACGACAUCAACCAUCAGAUUUCUGCUAAGACAUACGCUGCGCCUCUUAAUGAGGCCAAACCCAAGACUACAGACUCCACUGGAUUGGUUGUUGGUGUGUCCGUUCCCAUCAUUCUUUUGGUUGUUGGUGUUGUUCUAGUUCAAACUGAGUUGUAAGAGAGGUAAGUUUAAAACACUAAUUCAUCAACACCAUUCAGGGAAUCUGAUCCAGAAUCGUAACUAUCUCUCCAUGUGCUGUGCAGUUGUCUGCUCCAGUGUGUGUGUGCUGUAGCAGUUAAACUUCACUUUGAGUUUUAGACCAUACUGUAAGAUAGUGAGGACAUUUUGGCUGCUCCUCACUUUAAUGGUUAAGACCUGGUUUUAAGGUUAAAGUUAAAUUAGUUUCAGGUUCAUUCUGUUAAUGAGAAUUGAAUGAAUAGUUUGUGUUGAACUCUGAUAUUUGCUGUGAUUGAGUUCCACUCUUGUGCAGCUUUAAGAGAACACAUAUUGACUAAACACACUUGCCCAGCAGAGGAGCACCUUCAGCAGAAGACUCCUCUCACGCAGAUGCAUCACAGAGCGCCACAGGAAAUCAUUCCUGCCUGUGGUCAUUAAACUAUACAACGCCUCCCUCAGAGAGUCAGACACCCCCUCUCUGUAAUCUGACGCAAACAUAGACAAUCAUUUUUUGCACUUUUUGCACAUUACUGUACAUUUGAUCUUUUAUAUAUAUAUAUAUAUAUAUAUAUAUAGUUAUAUAUAGUUAUAUAUAUAUAUUUAUAUUUUGUUCUUAAUAUAUGUUGUUUGUAUAAUAUAUGUUGUAUGUAUAUCUGGAGUUUGGAACAAAAAUAAUUUCCCCCUGGGUUUAUUAAAGUAUUCCUGAUUCUGAUUCUGAAUCUGAUUUUACUCUGUUAUUAAUGUCGUUGAGGACAAAGACGACUUCUUGCACUCUGUUCUGUUGCUUUUAUUCUUUUCUUUUUUAGAUAAUUAUCUAAUCAAACUGCCCACUGGACUCUUGUUGAGGACAUUAUACUGUAGCACCUCGAUGAAUAAGACGGAGCUACACAGAAACAAACUAAUGUGAUAAAUAAUGAGACAGCAAAGCAGGAUAAUAGAACAAGUAAUGACAUCAAAUAAAGUAACACACAGCAGAAUUCAAAUGGACCAAGUUAAAAAGGGACCUGAUUAAAGUCAACUUCUGAUAAAAGAGAAUUUGAUAUCAGUGUUUAAAGCUAAGGGGCUCAGACCAAAAAUGCCUGAUCACACAUCAGGUGACUUGAAAGGACCAGGAGACCCUGACUGAGGAUUUCAGGCUGCGCUGCAGCUCAGAAACAGAUUAAAAUGUCCUUAAAAAGCAAAAGUUAAAUAUUAAAAGAGGCAGCUGGUGAAGAAUAGAAGGUUCUGUUUGUGUUCUUCUAGAAUGACUUCAAAUCCAAGCAAAGUUCAUGUAUGUUUCUGUUGUUUGCUGAUGAUGCAUUUGGAAGCUAUCAUGUAAUCUCAGGCAGUGCUUCAUCAUUUCUAUACAAACGUUUGAAUAAAAGCUGAAAAAUGUCAAACUGUGUGUUGGGACUGUUUUUGAUGUUUCUGUGUGUUCAGACUGUUUUAGGUAGAAUCUAAUCAGAGAGGGCUGCUGCAUAUAGGGACAGCAACUAUCAGACAGCACCACAAUGAGGGAGAGAGAGGCAGCACAUUGCACACAAAAGGAC